UGGGGCCUUUUCCAAACUUUUUUGCUUAGGG
rnacentral:piRNA from 1 species